UGGGCUAUAGACAAGCGGCAAGGCAACAGACUUUGACUCCGUGAUGCGUUGGUUCGAAUCCAGCCAACCCAG
rnacentral:tRNA from 1 species